GCCUCGGUAGCUCAUGUAGUAGAGCGCAGCUCUGAAAAAGCUGAGGUAGUCAGUGCAAGUCUGACCCGAGGCA
rnacentral:tRNA from 4 species